rnacentral:sRNA from 1 species
UUCAAUGAGCGGUUUACGUUCAAUGAAAUGCCCAUCUUCAAUGAAUAAAUAUGAAUAUUGAAUAAAAUGAGUAUUGGUUUAAACAUGAAUGAAAUGUGUGUUCGAUUUGAUGGUCCUAUGAACAUGAAAACAACAGUAAUUGUAUGCUCAGAUUCAAUGAGAUGUUCAUCUUCAAUGAGUUAUUCAACAUCAACUUGAUGUUUUUCAAUAAAAUAUUUAACUUUAAUGAGAGGAUUACGUUUAAUGAAAUGUUCAUCUUCUAUGAAAUGUUUAAAUACAACUUAAAAAUAUGUUCAACAUCAAAGAGUAACUCAAAUUCAGCAAAAUGUGCAUUAAUGAAAUAUGCAACUUUCAACUUCAAUGACAGGCUUACGUUCAGAAUGUUUAUUUGCAAUGAGAUGUUCGCAGUUGAAAAGUUAUUCAACUUCAAAGAGAUGUUCACCUUUAAAGAGAUGUUCUUCAAUAAAAUUAUUAAUUAUGAAAUAUUUUUCAAUUCAAUGAGAGGUUUGCGUUCAAUGAAAUGUCCAUUUUCUAUGAAGUGUUUAACUACAAAGAGAUGUUCGUCGUUGAAGAGUUAUUCAACUUCAAAAAGAUGUUCACCUUCAAAGUUAUUCAACUUCAGCUAGAUGUUCUUCAAUGAAAUAUUCAGUUGCAAUAAGUGGUUCACGUUCAAUGAAAUGUCCAUCUUCUAUGAAAUGGUUAGUUGCAAUGAGAUGUUCGCCGUUGAAGAGUUAUUCAACUCAAAAAGAUGUUCACUUUCAAAGAGUUAUUCAACUUCAGAUAAAUGAUCUUUAAUGAAAUAUUCAACUUCAAUGAAGGGUGUAUGUUUAAUAAAAUGUCCAUCUUCUUUGAAAUGUUUACUAUAAUGAGAUGUUCGCCGUUGAAGAGUUAUUCAACUUGAAAAAGAUUUUCACCUUUAAGGAGAUAGUUAUCUUCAAAGAGUUGUACAACUUCAACUAGAUGUUCCUUAAUGAAAUAUUCGACUUCAAUAAGAGAAUGGCGUUCAAUGAAAUGUCCAUCUUCUAUGAAAUAUUUAACUGCAAUAAGAUGCUCACCGUUGAAGAGUUAUUCAACUUCAAAGAUUUAUUCAACUUCAACAAAAUUUUAAUGAGAUAUUGUAUUUCGUCUUUAAAAUUUACACUUUUAAAGCGUUCUGCAUCUUUAAAGAGUUAUUUAACUUCAAUGAGAUGUUCGCCUUCAAAAGGGAUGUCUAACUUCACUAAGUUGUUCGGCUUAGAAGCCAUGUUCAUCUUGAAUGUGAAGUUUAGCUUCAAUAAGAAUGUAAUGUUCACUUUAAAGGUUUUCCUACAUGAUUAGUUAUCGCACAUAGUUUUGAAUAAUGGAUAAAAAAGACUUUGACUCAACUCAACUUUGACUUUCUUAUACAACAUACUUUGAAAAAAGCGGCUUAAAAUUUAAAAAGAAAAUGGAUACAUCGAAUAGUAAACGUGAAAAUCCUUUGAAAUUUAAAUGAUUCUUCAAAGUCAACGAGUCUUUAGGAAUACAGUUGUAACUUCAUAUUAAGAAAGUUGUAAACUGAUGAAUAAGGAAGAUCUAAGAUAUCCUUGAACAAGUAUGAUGUAUAAGUUCAUGCAUAAAUUUGCUGCAUAGUAAGGAUACUUCAACUAGAAGGAGAAGGAAUAUUAAGGCGAUGUUAAACAGGAAUGAUGUAUAUGGAUGUGUAUACAUAUACAUAAUAUCUGUUUUAUAGUCUCCUCAAUUUGAGAAAAAUUUAUAAAGGUCUGACAGGAAUUGAUUGGAUUGUAAAACAGACCGAAAUAAAAAUUUCCAGGAAAUGAAAUUGAGCUGCUCUAAGAAAAAGGAAGGAACGAGAAGCUUCAGAAACUGUCUGGAACUUGAAAUAUGAACGUUUUAUGAGUCUUUAGAUGGGAAAAAGCUGAAGUUUUCAAGAAAAAAGGGGAACUUCAUCAAUUAUCUAGACCUUGAAUGGAGGCGUAUAUAUGGAACUUGAGAUGGAACAAAGUCCAGAGGUAAAAAAGAAACUCCAACAAUUAUCUGAACCAUAAAAGGAGGCAGAUGGAGCAAAGCUGAAAUUCACAGGUGAAAAUGGUAAUCCAAUAAUUAUCUGGAUCUUGAAAGGUGGCAGUUUUAUGGAACUUUAGAAGAAGCGAAUUUGAAAUCCACAGGUAAAAAAGGAACUUCAACAAUUAUCUAUCAGUUUUAUGGAACUUCAGAUAAAGAGAAGUUGAAAUUCUGCAAUGAAAAAGGAACUUCAAAAAUUAUCUGGUCCUUAAAAGGUGGCAGUUUUAUGGAACUUCAGAUGAAGUAAAGCCGAACUUCUAUUAUGAUCAGUUGCUUAAAAUCUGGCAGUUUAUGAAAUUUCAGAUGAAACAAUGCGGAAGAGCUGAUGAUUUUACUUCUGAUGCGGAAAAUAUGCUUUAAUGACUAUGAAUCUAAAACAGGAAAUUGGCCUUAAUUUUGCAUCUAUCAGACUAAAGUCAACGAGCAGAGAUUAAAAGAAACAAAGUUCAUUAGAUAACCUUUUUUGCUUUAAGCAAAUGCUGCAAAGGAUUUUGAAGUCCUACUAUAGUAAGACUCGAGAUGAUUGGUGAUGUACAGGAUGCAGUAACACAUUCAACUGAAACUUCAUAUGGAGCAAAGUCGAGCUUCAACUAUGAUCCCUUAUGAAUAAGUUGUUUGCUUAUUGAACUUCAGAUAAAACCAUGUGGAAGAACAACCGAGGAUAUUACUUCUGAUGCGGAAUAGAUGCCCUUAUGACUAUGAAUCUAAAACAGGAAAUCAGUUGAUUUAAGAAAAAAACAAAGUUCAUUACAAAAACUUUUUUUUUGUAAACAAAAUGCUUCAAAGGACUCUGAAGUGUUACAAUGUGGAGAUGAUGGGUGAUGUAUGCAUUGUUGUAACACAUUCAACUGGAACUUUAGAUGGAACAAAGCCGAACUUCAACUAUGAUUAGUCAACCAAAAGUUGACGGCUUAUGGAGCUUCAGGUGAAACAGUAUGGAAGAACAACCGAAGAUUUUACUUCUGAUGCGAAAUAGAUGCCCUUAUGACUAUAAAUCUAAAACAGGAAAUAGACCUAAAUGUUGCAUUUGUCAGGUCCAGCUUAAAGACAACAAGCAGUGAUUGAAAGAAACAAAGUUCCUUAGAAAACCGUUGUUUGUUGCGAAUAAAAUUCUUCAAAGGAUUCUGAAGUCUUAUUGUAUGGAGAUUAUAGGUGUUGUAUGGGAUGUAAUAACACUUUCAAAACUUAAGAGGUACAAUUGGAUGCAGAUGAUCUCUGGAAGUUGUCAGAUCUUGUUGUUUUCUCGAUAACGAUUCAACGAAUUUUAGUGGCCCCAGAAGAGAUAUCAAAUUCUUUUGUCAAGAAAUUUCGAUAGAUCUAGUAAGGAUGACCCAUACGGAGUUUUGCAAAAUCCAGCCAAGCUAUGCUAGUUGGAAAGUCUGUGUGGAAAUGUGUGGCCAACUAUCCUUCUUAACAGAAAAUCUUAAGGCGUAUUGUUCCUGGGGACAGGUAUCUGACACCUUCAUUGCUUACCGGAAGAUAUCAACAGCAGUGUGGAAAUUCGAAUACGGGACCAAGCUGGAGAGAAUGAGAACAUUUAGCAUAAGGAAUGAACUUGUAAUAGUUCUAUACACCUUAAAAGAAUGUCUUAAAUGAAAAGCAGUAUAUAAUAAUAGAAUAAUCAAGUAUUCUGCUAGGCUAUGGAAACAUACAGAUAACGGAAAUAACCGGAUAUAGCUUCAAUGAGGAUCCACGAUAAUCCCAUGGCAGCCGGUUGUACGUACUGGAUUGACACAA